AGAGUUUGAUCCUGGCUCAGGAUGAACGCUGGCGGCGUGCUUAACACAUGCAAGUCGAACGGAAAGGCCCUGCUUGCAGGGUACUCGAGUGGCGAACGGGUGAGUAACACGUGGGUGAUCUGCCCUGUACUUCGGGAUAAGCCUGGGAAACUGGGUCUAAUACCGGAUAGGACCGUCUUUUAGUGUAGGCGGUGGAAGGACUUCGGUCGGUAGGGGAUGAGCUUGCGGCCUAUCAGCUUGUUGGUGGGGUAAUGGCCUACCAAGGCGUCGACGGGUAGCCGGCCUGAGAGGGUGUACGGCCACAUUGGGACUGAGAUACCGCCCACACUCCUACGGGAGGCAGCAGUGGGGAAUAUUGCACAAUGGGCGCAAGCCUGAUGCAGCGACGCCGCGUGGGGGAUGACGGCCUUCGGGUUGUAAACUCCUUUCGCCAGGGACGAAGCGUUAUAGUGACGGUACCUGGAUAAGAAGCACCGGCUAACUACGUGCCAGCAGCCGCGGUAAUACGUAGGGUGCAAGCGUUGUCCGGAAUUACUGGGCGUAAAGAGCUCGUAUGUGGUUUGUCACGUCGUCUGUGAAAGUCCAGCGCUUAACGCUGGGAUUGCAGGGGAUACGGCCUGACUUGAUUGCUGUAGGGGAAACUGGAAUUCCUGGUGUAGCGGUGAAAUGCCCCAAAUAUCAGGAGGAACCCCAAUUGGCGAAGGCCGGUCUCUGGGGCGUGAACUGACCUGAAGAAACAAAGCCUGGGGUAGCCAACAAGAUUAAAUCCCCUGGGUAAUCCCUGCCCAAAAAGGGGGG
rnacentral:rRNA from 1 species